rnacentral:rRNA from 1 species
CUUAAAGGAAUUGACGGGGCCGCACAAGCGGUGGAGCAUGUGGUUUAAUUCGACGCAACGCGAAGAACCUUACCAGGGCUUGACAUCCCCUGACCGCGUAUGAAAGUACGUUUUCACCCUCGGGUGACAGGGAGACAGGUGGUGCAUGGUUGUCAUCAGCUCGUGUCGUGAGAUGUUGGGUUAAGUCCCGCAACGAGCGCAACCCCUAUUGUUAGUUGCCAUCAUUCAGUUGGGCACUCUAGCGAGACUGCCGGUAAUAAACCGGAGGAAGGUGGGAUGACGUCAAAUCAUCAUGCCCCUUAUGACCUGGGCUACACACGUGCUACAAUGGUUGGUACAACGAGUUGCGAGUCGGUGACGGCGAGCUAAUCUCUUAAAGCCAAUCUCAGUUCGGAUUGUAGGCUGCAACUCGCCUACAUGAAGUCGGAAUCGCUAGUAAUCGCGGAUCAGCACGCCGCGGUGAAUACGUUCCCGGGCCUU